UCGAAUGGCCUUGUCAUGGUUUUGUUCCUGAUACAAUCGAUAGUGGGGGAGGCUAGGAAGAUUCAAAGUCAAGACCUCAGGUGCAUGGGUAAAUGCUCUUUAUCAACUGCGCUAUAGUCCCCUUGCAGCUGCUACAUACGGUCUUCGCAUUCUGUCGAACAUGUCCAAGACAUUCAAAUAAAUAUGGAACAAAUUAAGGUACAAAAUCGUGAAAUUUUCACAUUGCCAGUCAAAAGGUUGGUAACUUGGUAUCUUCCAAAAUUGGUUACAGGGUGUGUAAUUUGAAACUUCCCUAGCUCUACCGCGUUUUUCAAGUUUGCAAGUCCAUCAUCCAAUGAGAUAGUAAAGUUGAUCUUUCUUCUUGACUAGGGUGUCCACAGCAAUAAUGCAAUCAUGUUCCACCGAAGAAGGAAGCCUGAUUCCGAUGGGUGGUCGCGUUGAUGCAUUUUCUCUACUGUGGGUGCCAAAGCUAUAAAUGCUUGGUCGGAUCAGUUAUUUUCAAAGCUAAGACUAGUUUAUCACUGUAUUUGAUAACUACUUUUACAUGCCAAAGCUAUAUAAUGCGUUGAUGCAUUUUCUCGACUGUGUUUGCAUUUACUUUCUUUGAUCUCCUAUCUUGGAAAUUAACAUGCUCCAGUACUUUGUAUUCAUAAUUAAUUAAGGAUUAUUAAAUCAAAAAAUAAUUGUGUUACUGCACCUCCUUAUAGUUAUAAAAUUAAUUUAAUUCUAA